UACGGAGGGUGCGAGCGUUGUCCGGAAUCACUGGGCGUAAAGGGCGCGUAGGCGGCAGGCCAAGCGUGCGGUGAAAGUCCGGGGCUCAACCCCGGAUCUGCCGUGCGGACUGGUUUGCUAGAGCACUGUAGAGGCGAGUGGAAUUCCGGGUGUAGCGGUGGAAUGCGUAGAGAUCCGGAAGAACACCGGUGGCGAAGGCGGCUCGCUGGACCACAACUGACGCUGAGGCGCGAAAGCUAGGGGAGCAAACAGGG
rnacentral:rRNA from 1 species